rnacentral:sRNA from 1 species
GGAGGAAUGGCGUUUUCUAUGAAGAAGCCCUUUGGAGUAUGUGAGGUGCUGACUUUACAUGUAGAGAGAUGAAAUGACUGUGAUGGUUGUGUUACAUGGGGCCGGUGGUUGUUUUAAACAGAUCAUUGAGCGCUUGAAGCUGGUGCCCCUGAAUCAGGAAAGUGUGGAAGAGAGAGUGGCUGCCUUCAGAAAUUUCAGUGAUGAAAUCAGGCACAACCUCUCAGAAGUGCUUCUUGCCACCAUGAACAUCUUGUUCACACAGUUUAAGAGGCUGAAGGGGACAAGUCCAUCCUCGUCAUCCAGGCCCCAGCGAGUCAUCGAGGACCGCGACUCUCAACUCCGAAGUCAAGCCCGCACCCUGAUUACCUUUGCUGGAAUGAUACCAUACCGAACAUCUGGGGACACCAAUGCGAGGCUGGUGCAGAUGGAGGUCCUCAUGAAUUAAGUGCCAUGCUUUGGGGGAGUCUGGGUCGGCACACUGUCAGUACAUCAGGCACAUGGGCCCACUAGGCUGGGGUUUCUGGUUUUGUUUCUGUUGUGUUUUGUUUUGGUUUCUGUAUUAUGUAUUUUUGUCAACACCAAUAAAUU